GCCUAACACAUGCAAGUCGAACGGUAGCACAGGGAGCUUGCUCUCGGGUGACGAGUGGCGGACGGGUGAGUAAUGUCUGGGAAACUGCCCGAUGGAGGGGGAUAACUACUGGAAACGGUAGCUAAUACCGCAUAACGUCUUCGGACCAAAGUGGGGGCCCUUCGGGCCUCACACCAUCGGAUGUGCCCAGAUGGGAUUAGCUAGUAGGUGGGGUAACGGCUCACCUAAGCGACGAUCCCUAGCUGGUCUGAGAGGAUGACCAGCCACACUGGAACUGAGACACGGUCCAGACUCUUACGGGAGGCAGCAGUGGGGAAUAUUGCACAAUGGGCGCAAGCCUGAUGCAGCCAUGCCGCGUGUAUGAAGAAGGCCUUCGGGUUGUAAAGUACUUUCAGUGGGGAGGAAGGCGAAGAGGUUAAUAACCUUUUCGAUUGACGUUACCUGCAGAAGAAGA
rnacentral:rRNA from 1 species